UACUGAGCCACACACCCUAGGGCCUGUGCUCCACAACAAGAGAAGCCACCCCAAUGAGAAGCCUGAGCACCACAACUAGAGAAUAGCCCCACUUGCCACAACUAGAGAAAGCCUGCAUGCAGUGAUGAAGACCCAAAACCCUAUUCUAGCUUUUAAGGAACUUCCAGAAUAGAUGCACAUACAGCACUAGAAGAGAACAUUUUCAGGACUGAAUAAGUACUGCUGGCACUGAGCAUGCAGAGGAGGAGGAAGCAGUCACUAUAGGCUGAGGUUUUGGGAGAGGCCUCACAGUGAAGAGUGACAGCUGAUUCAUGAAAGAAGGUAGACCUAGGAUGUGUCAUGGCCAGGAAAAAAGAACACAGGACUGGGUCUAGGAAUAAAACUGGUUUUAUUUAUUUAUUUAUUUAUUUAUUCACUAGCUUGGUUUCUUUGAAGAUACAGAAAAAUAUAAAUCUGUCAACAUCUACUCUAAAUAAGACAAAUUUGGUAUAAGAAUAUUAAUAUUUACAAAGAUAUAAUUUAAUGCAAAAAGAAGGAUAUGAUAUUAAGAUAAGCAAUUGUCUACCAGGAGGAUAGAAUCAUCAUGUACUUGUAUGUAUUGCCCCCUCGCCCCCCAAGAAAACAGCCUUGAAAUAUGUUAAUCCCCAAACUGGGAGAAUUUAAGACAUCUCUCUCAGAUAAUGAUGGACCAAGCAUUUAAAACAUUAAUAAGGAUAAUGAAUAAUUGAUUUGAACAACAAGAAGGGGAAACUGAAGCACAGAGCUUCAGUGAAAUAGCUUGUCCAAGACUAUACAGCUAGUGACAGAGCAGAGAUUCAAACCCAGGAAAUCUUUUGUUGCCAGCCUGUGGCUAAAGUAGAAUUUUGAAAAUGUAUUUACAUAAAAGUAUUAAAAACAAGUCAACUAAGCAUUCAAUAUUCAACUCAACAAGUUUGAAAAUAGAUAAAUCCCCCAAAGAGGAAGCAAACAAAAACUCUAAACACCCAAAGCUGGUUCUUUGAAAAGCCUAUAAAAAUAGGUUUCUUUAAAUAUUGACAGAGAAACUCACAGAGAACGAAAAUAUGAGAGAAAAAGAUGUGAGUAAAGAAAGGGACAUAACUAGAGAAAUAUCAGAGACUUUUAAAAUUAUGGAUGAAUAGUAUAAAGAAUUUUUUACCAAUAAACUGAAAAGUUAAAGUGUAUUUUUUUCUAGAAAACAAAAGUUAGCAAAGUUGCAAAAAAAAAAAAAAAAAAAAAGAUGAACCAAUACCCAAUAAAGAAAUGGAAAGUACUCAGGACUCUUGCAACACUCCUUUUUUCACUCACAAAAGGAGAAGGUACAGAAAAUUUUAUGCUGCAUAUUAAAAAACCUUUAAAACAGAAAAAGGAGGGGGAGGAAAGCCAUGAACUUUGUUUUAUGAAGGUUUAACUACCUUUUCACCAAAAUGGGACAAGAGCAAUACAAGAAAAGGAAAGAUGAAAUUUUUCAAGGUAAAAUUAACAAAGAGAUCUUUUAGUCUGAGAUCCAGUGAAAUGUGUUUGCUAUGUGGAAGUAGAAGGCAGCAGGAAUCUUAACUCAAUGAAACUGCUGGGUUUUCCUCACUGACUAGCUUCCCAGAUUAUGAAGAAUGAGGCAUCAGUGUUCUGCAUCAUCAUCCAAUGCAAAGGUAGAGUGGAACAUGACUGAGCACCAUUAUAACCUCACUGGGAUACCACACAGACAGUACUCUACAGGUGCCAGUAUGAAGAUGACUCAACGGAAGUAAGGAUUCCAGGGCAGUGUCAGAUCUGAAAAAGCAAUCCCAGCACCAGUUCCUUGUCUCACAGUGGCUUGGCAACUUCACCUCUCUCAAAGUAGAGAGGAAAAUCAAGUCAAACAGGCCUUCCUGAAACAUGGCGUAAAACACCACAUGUCACCUUUGUUCCUGGAGGAGACACUAAACAAGUACUUGUUGAGACUUCAACUCAAAUAGCUCUAGGAAAAGCCACUUGUUAUAGAGCAAAAUGGGCUGAUGGUUCGAAUUAUCCAUCCACAGAAGAAGAAAUGAUCCUGAAGAGAAAGCUGCAUAAAGUAUUUCCUAGUUGAAAAGGCUCUGGAAUCAGCGUCUAGAAUUUGAAUCUCAACUCUGAAGUGCAUCAGCUGUGUGACCUUAGGAACUCUCGGCUGGAUUUGUGACUUGCUUGAAGAAACAGAAUGUGAUGGAUGUGAAGCUGUGUGACUUUCAGCUUUUUGAAAAAUAAUUAAAAGUCAUGAUU